rnacentral:rRNA from 1 species
CAAUAGCGUAUAUUUAAGUUGUUGCAGUUAAAAAGCUCGUAGUUGGAUUUCGGGCGGGUGACGGCGGUCCGCCUCUGGUGUGCACUGCCGGCAUCCGCCUUUCUGUCGGGGACGGGCUCCUGGGCUUCAUUGCUUGGGACUCGGGUUCGACGUGGUUACUUUGAGUAAAUUAGAGUGUUCAAAGCAGGCGAUCGCCCUGAAUACAUUAGCAUGGAAUAGCACGAUAGGACUCUGGCCUAUUUUGCUGGUCUGUAGGACCGGAGUAAUGAUUAAGAGGGACAGUCGGGGGCAUUCGUAUUUCAUUGUCAGAGGUGAAAUUCUUGGAUUUAUGAAAGACGAACUUCUGCGAAAGCAUUUGCCAAGGAUGUUUUCAUUG